rnacentral:rRNA from 1 species
GACGAACGCUGGCGGCGUGCUUAACACAUGCAAGUCGAACGGAAAGGCCCUGCUUUUGUGGGGUGCUCGAGUGGCGAACGGGUGAGUAACACGUGAGUAACCUGCCCUUGACUUUGGGAUAACUUCAGGAAACUGGGGCUAAUACCGGAUAGGAGCUCCUGCUGCAUGGGGGGGGUUGGAAAGUUUCGGCGGUUGGGGAAGGUCUCGCGGCUUAUCAGCUUGAUGGUGGGGUAGGUGCUUACCAAGGGUUUGACGGGUAGCCGGCGUGAGAGGGUGACCGGCGCCACUGUGAGUGAGACAGGGUCCAGACUACUACGGGAGGCAGCAGUGGGGAGUAUGCCGCAAUGGGCGAAAGCCUGACGGAGCAACGCCGGGUGAGUGACGACGGUCUGCGGAUCGGAAAACUGUGUUAGUAGGGAAGAACAUAUGUGUAAGUAACUGUGCACAUCUUGACGGUACCUAAUCAGAAAGCCACGGCGAACUACGUG